rnacentral:rRNA from 1 species
UGAGCUCGAUGAGUAGGGCGGGACACGUGGUAUCCUGUCUGAAUAUGGGGGGACCAUCCUCCAAGGCUAAAUACUCCUGACUGACCGAUAGUGAACCAGUACCGUGAGGGAAAGGCGAAAAGAACCCCGGCGAGGGGAGUGAAAAAGAACCUGAAACCGUGUACGUACAAGCAGUGGGAGCCCCACCACCAAAGCAUUCUCUGGUGUUGAAGGCCCUGCAAAGCAGCAUCGCGGUGGCGGAGCGUCGUUUGCGACGCCCAACACACAAAACAAGCGGUGAAUGCUUUGGGGUGGGGUGACUGCGUACCUUUUGUAUAAUGGGUCAGCGACUUAUAUUCUGUAGCAAGGUUAACCGUAUAGGGGAGCCGUAGGGAAACCGAGUCUUAACCGGGCGUUAAGUUGCAGGGUAUAGACCCGAAACCCGGUGAUCUAGCCAUGGGCAGGUUGAAGGUUGGGUAACACUAACUGGAGGACCGAACCGACUAAUGUUGAAAAAUUAGCGGAUGACCUGUGGCUGGGGGUGAAAGGCCAAUCAAACCGGGAGAUAGCUGGUUCUCCCCGAAAGCUAUUUAGGUAGCGCCUCGUGAAUUCAUCUCCGGGGGUAGAGCACUGUUUCGGCUAGGGGGCCAUCCCGGCUUACCAACCCGAUGCAAACUGCGAAUACCGGAGAAUGUUAUCACGGGAGACACACGGCGGGUGCUAACGUCCGUCGUGAAGAGGGAAACAACCCAGACCGCCAGCUAAGGUCCCAAAGUCAUGGUUAAGUGGGAAACGAUGUGGGAAGGCCCAGACAGCCAGGAUGUUGGCUUAGAAGCAGCCAUCAUUUAAAGAAAGCGUAAUAGCUCACUGGUCGAGUCGGCCUGCGCGGAAGAUGUAACGGGGCUAAACCAU